CACAGAUGAGGAUACAGUUAAAAGGUACUAUGCCAAGUUUGAGGAGAAGUUCUUCCAGACGUGUGAAAAAGAGUUGGCCAAGAUCAACACCUUCUACUCUGAAAAGCUUGCUGAGGCCCAGCGGCGGUUUGCCACGCUGCAGAACGAGCUGCAGUCAUCGCUGGAUGCUCAGAGGGAGAGCUGGGCCAACGGUCGGGGGCUGAGGAAGAGGAAGACGGUGUUCGCCCUGUCGCAGCAGGAGCGCUGCAAACACAGGAACAUAAAGGACCUGCAGCUGGCCUUCUCCGAGUUUUACCUCAGCCUCAUUCUGCUGCAGAACUAUCAGAACCUGAACUUCACAGGUUUCAGGAAAAUCCUGAAGAAGCAUGAUAAGAUUUUGGAGACUUCCAGAGGGGCCGACUGGAGGGUAGUCCAUGUUGAAGUGGCUCCAUUUUACACAUGCAAGAAAAUCACACAGCUUAUCUCUGAGACU